rnacentral:rRNA from 1 species
CCUACGGGAGGCUGCAGUGAGGAAUAUUGGUCAAUGGGCGCAAGCCUGAACCAGCCAAGUCGCGUGAGGGAUGACGGUCCUAUGGGUUGUAAACCUCUUUUGUCGGGGAGCAAGUCCCGCCACGUGUGGCGGGAAGGAGAGUACCCGCAGAUAAAGCAUCGGCAAACUCCGUCCCAGCAGCCGCGGUAAUAGGGAGGAUGCGGGCGUUAUCCGGAUUUAUUGGGUUAAAAGGGUGCUUAGGGGGAAGGUUAAGUCAGCGGUAAAAUGUCGGUGCACAACACCGGCCUGCCGUUGAAACUGGUGGUCAUGAGUGAGCGGGAAUAAGGCGGAAUGAGUGGGGUAGCGGUGAA